ACAUUCUCUCUCUUGCCUGCUGCCAUGUAAACUAUGCCUUUUGCCUUCUGCCAUGAUUGUGAGGCCUCCCCAGCCACAUGAAACUACAGCAAACACAGAUGGUACCAGUCAGGUCUGCCCAGCCUUGCUGCUGAAGCUGGAGUCAGCUCCUAGGAAAGCUCGUGCACCCUCUGCUGGUCAUCUCUACACCAGGACAAGAGGAUCUGUGUCCAAAGGAGGAGCUGAGGCUCGAGCACUUCGUCACAUAGCCACAAGAGUCCACUCUCCAAGCAGGCUCCUGACUCCAGAUUCUAUAUUCUACUUAGUACGCUAUUCCAUCUGAGCUGCUGAUCCAUCAGAAGUUUUCUAAAGAGUUGGCAUGAAUUUUAGCAGAGAGUAGAGAGUGGCAUGGUUAUGCAGAGAGACAAGAAGAAGAAAAAGAAGAUGAGGCAGACAUGGUGUAUCAAAUAAGCCACAUAUUGGGAGAAGACAUUUGUAACACAUAUUAUGAUGAAGAAUUGUUACGGAGAAACAUGCAGAAACAUUCUAAACUCAAGAAGAAAAAGACACACAAUCUAAUAGAAAAUGGGCAAAAGUCAUGAUCAGGCUUUGCACAAGAAUGAAAACAGGAAUGCCUAGUGACAUUAAAAAUAGAUGCUCAACUGUAUUUAUAAUAUGGAAAAUACAUAAAAAUCAUAAUAUGAUAGUCUUAUAUUCACUACAUUGGCAAAAACUUAAGUCUGACAAUACAAAUGCAGGCAAGGAUGUAAAGUAAUGGGAAGUCAGCUAAUAGGAUAGAAAUUACUAUAAUGACAUAUAGAGUCAACAUGGUAUCACCUAAAAAAGCUGAAGGUGCAUAAUAUGGUUUGGUUGUGUCCUCAACCAAAUCACAUCUUGAAUUGUAGUUCCCAUAAUCUCCACAUGUCGUGGGAGGGACACAGUGGGAGGUAAUUGAAUUAUGGGGGGUGGUUAUCCUCAUGCUGAUCUUGUGAUAGUAAGUUCUCAUGAGAUCUGAGGGUUUAUAAGGGGCUUCUCCCCUGCUUCACUCUGCACUUCUCCUUGUUGCUGCCAUGUGAAGAAGGAUGUGUUUGCUUCCCCUUCUGCCAUGAUUGUAAGUCUCCUGAAGCCUCUUGAGCCAUGUGGAACUGUGAGACAAUUAAACCUCUUCCCUUUAUAAAUUACCCAGUCUCAGGUAUGUCUUUAUUAGUAGCGUGAGAACAGACUAAUAUAGUAAAUUGGUACCAGGAAUGGGGUGCUGCUGUAAAGAUACCCAAAAAUGUGGAAGCAACUUUGGAACUGGGUAACAGGCAGAGGUUGGAACUGUUUGGAGGGCUCAAAAGACAGGAAAAUGUGAGAAAGUUUGAAACUUCCUAGAGACUUGGAGGGCUCAGAAGACAGGAAGAUGUGGGAAAGUUUGGAACUUCCUAGAGACCUGUUAAAUGGUUUUGACCAAAAUAUUGAUAGUGAUAUGGACAAUAGAGCCCCCCACCUGAGGUCAUCUCAGAUGGAGAUGAAGAACUUGUUGGGAACUGGACUAAAAGUCAUUCUUGCUAUGCAAAGAUACUGGAGGCAUUUUGUCCCUGCCCUAGAGAUCUGUGGAACUUUGAACUUGAGAGAGAUGUUUUAGGGUAUCUAGAGAAAGAAAUUUCUAAGCAGCAAAGUGCUCAAGAGGAAGCAGAGCAUAAACGUUUGAAAAAUGUGCAGCCUGAUAAUGCAGUAGAAAUGAAAAACCCAUAUUCUGGGGAGAAAUUCAAGCAAGCUGCAGAAAUUUGCAUAAGUAACAAGGAGCCAAAUGCUAAUCACCAAGACAAUGGGGAAAAUGUCUCCAAGGCAUGUCAGAGAACUUUGAGGCAGCCCCUCCCAUCACAGGCCUAGAGGCCUAGGAGGGAAAAGUGGUUUCCUGGGCUGGAUGCAGGGCCCUCCUACUGUGUGCAGCCUCAGGACUUGGUGCCCUGCACCCCAGCUGCUCCAGCUGUGGCUAAAAGGGGCCAAGGUACAGCACAGGCCAUGGCUUCAGAGGGGGCAAGCUCCAAGCCUUGGCAGCUUCCACGUGUUAUUGGGCCUGCGGGUGCACAGAAGUCAAGAACUGAGUUUGAGGAACCUCUGCCUAGAUUUCAGAAGAUGUAUAGAAAUGCCUGGAUGUCCAAGCAGAAGUUUGCUGCAUGGGUGGAGCCCUCAUGGAGAACCUCUGCUAUGGCAGUGCGGAAGGGAAAUGUGGGAUUGGAGCCCCCACACAGAGUCCCUACUGGGACACUGCCUAGUGGAGAUGUGAGAAGAGGGCCCCCAUCCUCCAGACUCCAGAACUGUAGAUCCACUGACAGCUUGCACCAUGUGCCUGGAAAAGCCUCAGACACUCAACACCAGCCCAUGAAAGCAGCCAGGACAGGGGCUGUACCCUGCAAAGCCACAGGUGUGGAGCUGCCCAAGGCCAUAGGAGCCCACCUCUUGUAUCAGCAUGCCCUGGAUAUGAGACAUGGAGUCAAAGGAGAUCAUUUUGGAACUUUAAGGUUUAAUGACUACUCUAUUGGAUUUUGGACUUGCAUAGGGCCUGUAGCCCCUUUGUUUUGGCCAAUUUCUCCCAUUUGGAAUGGGUGUAUUUACCCAAUGCCUGUACCCCCAUUGUAUCUAGGAAAUAAAUAACUUGCUUUUGAUUUUACAGGCUCAUAGGCAGAAGGGACUUGCCUUGUCUCAGAUGAGACUUUGGACUUAGAUUUUUGAGUUAAUGCUGGAAUAAGACUUUGGGAGACAGUUGGAAGGACAUGAUUGUGUUCUGAAAUGUGAGGACAUGAGCUCUGGGAGGGGCCAGGGGCAGAAUGAUAUGGUUUGGCUGUGUCCCCACCCAAAUCUCAUCUUGAAUUGUAGUUCCCAUAAUCUCUACAUGUUGUGGGAGGGACCCAGUGGGAGGUAACUGAAUCAUGGGGGUGGUUACCCUCAUGCUGUUCUCAUGAUAGUGAGUGUGUUCUCAUGAGAUCUGAUGGUUUUAUAAGGGGCUUUUCCUCCACUUUGCUCUGCACUUCUCCUUGCUGCUGCCAUGUGAAGAAGGGUGUGUUUGCUUCUCCUUCCGCCAUGACUGUAAGUUUCCUGAGGCCUCCCCAGCCAUGAGGAACUGUGAGUCAAUUAAACCUCUUCCCUUUAUAAAU